rnacentral:rRNA from 1 species
AUACAGGGGGUGCGAGCGUUAAUCGGAAUUACUGGGCGUAAAGAGUACGUAGGCGGUUGCUUAAGUCAGAUGUGAAAGCCCCGGGCUCAACCUGGGAACUGCAUUUGAAACUGAGUGACUAGAGUUUAUGAGAGGGGAGUAGAAUUCCGGGUGUAGCGGUGAAAUGCGUAGAGAUCCGGAGGAAUACCAGUGGCGAAGGCGGCUCCCUGGCUUAAAACUGACGCUGAGGUACGAAAGCUGGGGGAGCGAACCGAAUUAGAUACCCGAGUAGUCC